rnacentral:sRNA from 1 species
CCCCGCCGGCCGCGCCUCACUCUUAAUUUGCAAAGCGGACUGUACGAUCUGAUUAAUCUUGAUAAACAAGUCAAAACUUUCAACAACGGAUCUCUUGGUUCUGGCAUCGAUGAAGAACGCAGCGAAAUGCGAUAAGUAAUGUGAAUUGCAGAAUUCAGUGAAUCAUCGAAUCUUUGAACGCACAUUGCGCCCGGCAGCAAUCUGCCGGGCAUGCCUGUCCGAGCGUCAUUUCUCCCCUCGAGCGCGGUUGGCCCCUAGCGGGCCGGCCGCCGCCCGGUGUUGGGGCACUGCGGGCCACAGCGCCCGCAGGCCCUUAAAUGAAGUGGCGGUCCCGCCGCGGCGCCCCCUGCGUAGUAGUAAAGCACCUCGCAUCGGGUCCCGGCGAAGACCAGCCGUCGAACCUAUCUCUUGAUGGUUGACCUCGGAUCAGUA